rnacentral:misc_RNA from 1 species
UGAUGAAGAACGUAGCGAAAUGCGAUAAGUAAUGUGAAUUGCAGAAUUCAGUGAAUCAUCGAAUCUUUGAACGCACAUUGCGCCCGCCAGUAUUCUGGCGGGCAUGCCUGUCCGAGCGUCAUUUCAACCAUCAAGCCCCGGGCUUGUGUUGGGGACCUGCGUCCGACGCAGGCCCUGAAAACCAGUGGCGGGCUCGCUGUCCACACCGAGCGUAGUAACUAACCUCGCUAUGGAGUGGCGCGGGCGCCUGCCGUAAAACCCCCAAUUUCACAAGGUUGACCUCGGAUCAGGUAGGAAUACCCGCUGAACUUAAGCAUAUCAAUAAGCGGAGGA